GCCGGAGUGGCGAAACUGGCAGACGCGCGGGACUCAAAAUCCCGAGGGGCUCACGCCCCGUGUGGGUUCGACCCCCACCUCCGGCACCA
rnacentral:tRNA from 1 species